CCUACGGGAGGCAGCAGUAGGGAAUCUUCCACAAUGGGCGCAAGCCUGAUGGAGCAACACCGCGUGAGUGAAGAAGGGUUUCGGCUCGUAAAGCCCUGUUGUUGGAGAAGAACGUGCGAGAGAGUAACUGUUCACGCAGUGACGGUAUCCAACCAGAAAGCAACGGCUAACUACGUGACAGCAGCCGCGGUAAUACGUAGGUGGCAAGCGUUAUCCGGAUUUAUUGGGCGUAAAGGUAGCGCAGGCGGUUGCUUAGGUCUGAUGUGAAAGCAUACGGCUUAACCGAAGAAGUGCAUCGGAAACCGGGCGACUUGAGUGCAGAAGAGGACAGUGGAACUCCAUGUGUAGCGGUGGAAUGCGUAGAUAUAUGGAAGAACACCAGUGGCGAAGGCGGCUGUCUGGUCUGCAACUGACGCUGAGGCUCGAAAGCAUGGGUAGCGAACAGGAUUAGAUACCCCAGUAGUC
rnacentral:rRNA from 1 species